AUUGAACGCUGGCGGCAUGCCUUACACACGCAAGUCGAACGGCAGCGGACCUUCGGGUGCCGGCGAGUGGCGAACGGGUGAGUAAUAUAUCGGAACGUACCUUUCAGUGGGGGAUAACGUAGCGAAAGUUACGCUAAUACCGCAUAUUCUGUGAGCAGGAAAGCAGGGGAUCGCAAGACCUUGCGCUGAUUGAGCGGCCGAUAUCAGAUUAGCUAGUUGGUGAGGUAAAGGCUCACCAAGGCGACGAUCUGUAGCGGGUCUGAGAGGAUGAUCCGCCACACUGGAACUGAGACACGGUCCAGACUCCUACGGGAGGCAGCAGUGGGGAAUUUUGGACAAUGGGCGCAAGCCUGAUCCAGCCAUGCCGCGUGAGUGAAGAAGGCC
rnacentral:rRNA from 1 species